rnacentral:rRNA from 1 species
AAAUUGAAGAGUUUGAUCAUGGCUCAGAUUGAACGCUGGCGGCAGGCCUAACACAUGCAAGUCGAACGGUAACAGGAAGCAGCUUGCUGUUUCGCUGACGAGUGGCGGACGGGUGAGUAAUGUCUGGGAAACUGCCUG